CAGCCGCCACGGGAAUACGUAGGGUGCAAGCGUUAAUCGGAAUUACUGGGCGUAAAGCGUGCGCAGGCGGUUAUAUAAGACAGAUGUGAAAUCCCCGGGCUCAACCUGGGAACUGCAUUUGUGACUCUAUAGCUAGAGUACGGCAGAGGGGGAUGGAAUUCCGCGUGUAGCAGUGAAAUGCGUAGAUAUGCGGAGGAACACCGAUGGCGAAGGCAAUCCCCUGGGCCUGUACUGACGCUCAUGCACGAAAGCGUGGGGAGCAAACAGGAUUAGAUACCCCCGUAGUCCCUGUCUCUUAUAC
rnacentral:rRNA from 1 species